rnacentral:misc_RNA from 1 species
GAUGAAGAACGUAGUGAAAUGCGAUAAGUAAUGUGAAUUGCAGAAUUCAGUGAAUCAUCGAAUCUUUGAACGCACAUUGCGCCCGCUAGUAUUCUGGCGGGCAUGCCUGUCCGAGCGUCGUUUCAACCCUCAAGCCCCCGGGCUUGGUGUUGGGGAUCGGCGAGCCUCCGCGCCCGCCGUCCCCUAAAUCUAGUGGCGGUCUCGCUGUAGCUUCCUCUGCGUAGUAGCACACCUCGCACUGGGAAACAGCGCGGCCACGCCGUUAAACCCCCAACUUCUGAACGUUUGACCUCGGAUCAGGUAGGAAUACCCGCUGAACUUAAGCAUAUCAAUAAGCGGAGGA